rnacentral:rRNA from 1 species
UACGAGGGGGGCGAGCGUUGUUCGGAAUUAUUGGGCGUAAAGGGUGCGUAGGCGGUUUGGUAAGUCUCGUGUGAAAUCUACAGGCUCAACUUGUAGUCUGCACGAGAAACUGCCGGGCUUGAGUGUGGGAGAGGUGAGUGGAAUUCCCGGUGUAGCGGUGAAAUGCGUAGAGAUCGGCAGGAACACCCAGGGGGAAACCAGCCGACUGGGCAUCUGCUGACGCUGAGGUGCGAGAGCGUGGGGAGCGAACCGG